GAGCAAGCUUAAUACUUGUAUGGUCAUGUAAAAAAUGCAUGGUCAGAUCACAGAAGGGUGAAGGGAACAUUGCAGAUUAAUAGGAAGCAUCAAAAGGAACUUCGGACUGACUAAGUAGAACGAUAAAGAAAAAUAAUGACUGACAGCUGAGGCAGUGUCACCCUGGGAAAUGCUGAAAUCAGAGAGAUGUGUUUAGAAGAUGGUGAAUUGAAAGCAAUCAAACUAAGCUCCGCUACAGAGCAACAACUUACCUCCACAUGUUCCUCUAACCUCAGCGACAAAUAAGC
rnacentral:misc_RNA from 1 species